rnacentral:rRNA from 1 species
AUUGAACGCUGGCGGCAUGCCUUACACAUGCAAGUCGAACGGCAGCACGGGAGCAAUCCUGGUGGCGAGUGGCGAACGGGUGAGUAAUAUAUCGGAACGUGCCCAGUCGUGGGGGAUAACGUAGCGAAAGCUACGCUAAUACCGCAUACGAUCUAUGGAUGAAAGCGGGGGAUCGCAAGACCUCGCGCGAUUGGAGCGGCCGAUAUCAGAUUAGGUAGUUGGUGAGGUAAAGGCUCACCAAGCCGACGAUCUGUAGCUGGUCUGAGAGGACGACCAGCCACACUGGGACUGAGACACGGCCCAGACUCCUACGGGAGGCAGCAGUGGGGAAUUUUGGACAAUGGGUGCAAGCCUGAUCCAGCAAUGCCGCGUGCAGGAUGAAGGCC